CCCUUAGAUGCCCGGGGCCGCACGCGCGCUACACUGAAGGAAUCAGCGUGGCUUUCUCCCUGACCCGAAAGGGUUGGGAAACCCGUUGAAUCUCCUUCGUGAUAGGGAUUGGGGCUUGAAAUUGUUCCCCAUGAACGAGGAAUUCCCAGUAAGCGCGAGUCAUAAGCUCGCGUUGAUUACGUCCCCGCCCUUUGUACACACCGCCCGUCGCUACUACCGAUUGAACGGUUUAGUGAGGGCCUCGGAUUGGUCUCGGCCCGCUCUUUACCGGGCGGCGCCGUUGGUCGAGAAGACGCUCGAACUUGAUCGUUUAGAGGAAGUAAAAGUCGUAACA
rnacentral:rRNA from 1 species